rnacentral:rRNA from 1 species
GACGAACGCUGGCGGCGUGCUUAACACAUGCAAGUCGCACGGGACUGGGGGCAACUCCAGUUCAGUGGCGGACGGGUGCGUAACACGUAAGUAACAUGUCCAAGGGUGGGGGAUAGCCGGCCCAACGGCCGGGUAAUACCGCAUGCAGUCACGGGGGACAUCCUCGGUGACGAAAGCCGGGGCAACCUGGCGCCCAUGGAGUGGCUUGCGGCCUAUCAGCUAGUUGGUGAGGUCACGGCUCACCAAGGCGACGACGGGUAGCUGGUCUGAGAGGAUGAUCAGCCACAUUGGGACUGAGACACGGCCCAGACUCCUACGGGAGGCAGCAGUGGGGAAUAUUGCGCAAUGGGCGAAUGCCUGACGCAGCGACGCCGCGUGUGGGAUGAAGGUCUUCGGAUCGUAAACCACUGUCAGCGGGGACGAAGGCCGGGCGUU